AGUAAAUUGCCCUUGAUUGUGUGUUGGUGUGGCUUAUUUUUAAAUGAUUUCACAUUUGCGCAGAAAGGGAAGACUGAAGAGCAACUAAUACUGAGGCCGAAAUAGUAAUGUUAAUGGAUAUUUUAUCCAUUGAAUGCAAAUGCUCGUGCUACAUUAAAAAUAAAGUAAGAAGAUAGUAUUAUUUGUAUUGUAUUGAUUUUCAAAUGGAUUGAGAAAAUACGAAAUAAAAAUGAUUUUUGUUUAAUAUAAUUUAGUUUGCGAAUGGCCUUAGCAGCAGUCACAAUGCAACGCGUUUGCGGCAAGUGCCAGUCACAUUAGAGAAAGUCCCGAAAUGGCGCUUCCGUGUCGAACUUGCGGGGAGCAUGCAGUAAAUCCAAGGAAACUAUUUGACGAGAAUGGAAACGACAUAUUGAACGACAUCCUCAAACUGACAGGCAUCUGGCUUACUAACAGGGUAGGAUUUCCAUCACAUAUAUGCGCCUCUUGCCUGCAACAGUCAAAUGAAGCCAUGGCAUUCAGAGAUCUUUGUAUAAGGACAAACAACCUUUGGUACGAAACACACGAUGCUGAUUUCAAAAGGGCUGACGACGCAGUGCACAUGGACCCCUUAAUUAGUAACGAUAAAGCGCCGAAGCCAGAUGAAAAUAAGGAAUAUUUCACAGUGGAAAUUGAAACUCUGAGUGAGGAAAUAAAGCCAGCAAGUCCUUUGAGCCAUCAUGGUAAAUCAGAUGCAUUUUACAAGAACAUUUCGUCGCGUCGUCAGCGGAAUCCAUCAAAUAUGCUUAAAAAAGCCGUGAAAGAACAAUCUGAGAAAAUAGAUAAUAAUGGAGAGUUUCAUGAUGAGCUUUUGGACUUCGACCCCCUGAUAAAUGAGGAUGCUGAGCUUGUCCUUGACGAGGAAAAUCAUGAUGAAGACAAAGUUAUUAAAAGGCCUUUGUCAAGUCGUAAGUCACGGUUAGAUUCGUGCUCUGUUCCUAAGAAAGGAGUAUUUCGUGGUUCCAGAAAAUCAGAUGCUGAUCCAGUUAUAAAACCUGAAAAGAAUAUUGCCAAGAAGCGAUAUAGAAGAGCCAUUGGAGGUUUUUGCUGCGACCAAUGCGGGAAAUGGUUCAAAGAUAAAAGCAAUCUUAAUGUACAUUUGACGCGCCACACAGGCGUCAAGCAGUUUGAAUGUGAGGAGUGUGGUCGCAAGGAGUUUACUAUGCACCUUUUGAGCCUGCACAUACGAGUAAAACAUAAUGGGGAGCUGCCAUACUCGUGCAAGUACUGUGGACAGCGUUUUGACAACUGCAUAAAACGUUUAAGGCAUGAAAGGCAACACAAGGAGUGCCCAGAUAUCCGACCUCACGUCUGCCUUGUUUGCGGAAAAGCCUUUCAACUUAAGAGAGCCUUGAGGAUGCAUGAGAUCGUGCACACUGGGGAACAGCCGUUCCACUGCGAGACCUGCGACGUAUACUUCAACCGCAAAUCCAGCUUACAGACCCACAACCGAUCGAAGUUGCAUAUUAAAAAAGUUGGUCAGGAUCAGAACAAAAUUCAGAUAGAUGUCGUUACGGACGAGGAUAGAUAUCAAAACAAAACCAAAAGCAAAAACCAAAACCAAUUGAUCAGACUUCCUGGCUCCCCCUGGCUAGCUACAGAAACUUGGGGAAAUAGAUAAAUAUCGUGUUUGCUAUCGGGACUUACUGGUUGAUGACGACGCUAAAGAUCUUUAUGAUGAGAGGAACAGUGCCCUGUUGUACCACAUAGAGGCAAUAACUGGAGUCUGGAUAAGGGGACUGCAGGGUAUGCCAGGAAACCCUGCAGAAAGCCAUUGAGUUCCGGGAGAACUGUAUAACCACUGAAUUCAAGCUCACCCAAG